UGGCUGAGUGGUAAAGCGCUUGACUUGCGAUCCGAAGGUCCCAGGUUUGAAUCCUGG
rnacentral:tRNA from 1 species